rnacentral:rRNA from 1 species
AGAGUUUGAUUCCUGGCUCAGGACGAACGUUGGCGGUGCGCUUAAUGCAUGCAAGUCGAGGGAGAAGCAUUUGUUCCGUAAGGUUCAGAUGUGGAAACCGGCGAACGGGUGCGUAACACGUGAGAAACCUGCCCCCUUGACCGGGAUAGCCCGAGGAAACUCGGAUUAAUACCGGAUACUCUCUUUGGACCGCAUGGUCCGCUGAGGAAACAGUCCGCUGCUAGGGGAUGGUCUCGCGGCCUAUCAGGUAGUUGGUGAGGUAACGGCUCACCAAGCCUAAGACGGGUAGCUGGUCUGAGAGGACGAUCAGCCACACUGGAACUGAGACACGGUCCAGACUCCUACGGGAGGCAGCAGCAGGGAAUAUUGCACAAUGGGCGAAAGCCUGAUGCAGCGACACCGCGUGCGGGAUGACGGCCUUAGGGUUGUAAACCGCUUUCAGGAGGGAAGAAAAUGACGGUACCUCCAGAAGAAGCUCCGGCCAACUACGUGCCAGCAGCCGCGGUAAUACGUAGGGAGCAAACGUUGUCCGGAUUUAUUGGGCGUAAAGGGCUCGUAGGCGGUUCAACAAGUCGAUCGUGAAAGCCCGGGGCUCAACCCCGGGAGGCCGGGUCGAAACUGUUUGUGACUAGAGUUCGGUAGAGGUGAGUGGAAUUCUCGGUGUAGCGGUGGGAAUGCGCAGAUAUCGAGAGGAACACCCAUUAGCGAAGGCGGCUCACUGGGCCGAUACUGACGCUGAGGAGCGAAAGCGUUGGGGAGCAACAGGGAUUAGAAACCUGGUUAGU